AGAUUGAACGCUGGCGGCAUGCCUAACACAUGCAAGUCGAACGGGAGUAGCAAUACUCUAGUGGCGGACGGGUGAGGAAUACGUAGGAAUUUGCCCUUAAGUGGGGGAUAACCCGGGGAAACCCGGAUUAAUACCGCAUGACCUCGAAAGAGCAAAGUGGGGGAUCGCAAGACCUCACGCUUUUGGAGAAGCCUACGUCGGAUUAGCUAGUUGGUGAGGUAAUGGCUCACCAAGGCGACGAUCCGUAACUGGUCUGAGAGGAUGAUCAGUCACACCGGAACUGAGACACGGUCCGGACUCCUACGGGAGGCAGCAGUGGGGAAUAUUGGACAACGGGCG
rnacentral:rRNA from 1 species